CUAUAGCGUUUUUCAAAUAGAAAACAAACAUUUGAUUGAUAACUGAUUAGUUGACAUCUUGUAACGAUUUGUUAGGCAGAAGAGCAAAAACAUGGCAUCAUUUCUCGUCUUGAAAUCCUAUAAAAAGAAAGACAUUUCUUUGGUGUUGCAUUUAUAUUUUUAAUAAGGAAGGAAGGCGCAAAAUUUAUUGGAGAUGAUCUAUUGAGUGGUUAGUUCCCAGCUGUAUUUUGAAAGAUCUUUUUUGGGUUCCUUAAUUCUGGAAUAAGGGCUGAAAUGGUUAGAGAUGAUGGCCGAGACAGGGAUAAAGUCAGGACGAGGACAAAUUUGUCUUGCUAUGCAUAAGAAAUAAGAUUGGAUCGUAUGUGAGUGAGGGGCAAGAGAAAUAUUUUUGGAUGAUGUUUACUUCACUUGUGGAAUAAGAGGAUCAUCGGGUGGCAGCAAUGAAAAUCACCAAGCAAAUACAUAGUGCUUUUUAUAUG